UGGGGAAAAAUUAAUAAAUUAUAUAUAAUAAAAAAAAUUUUAAUAUUGGGGGAUGUUAAAGUAUUUUUUUAGAAAUAAUAUAAUUAUUUAUAGUAAAAUAGUAUUGAUAAAGAAAUUUGAAAUAAUUUUGAAAAAUGAAUUAAUAAAAAAGUAAAUUUAAAUUAUUGUAUCUUGUGUAUCAGAGUUUAUUAAAAAAUAUUUAUUAAUUAAAAAAAUCUCGAAUUUAAAAGAGUUAAUUAAUUAAAAAAUUUAAUGUUGAAUAAUUAUUUUAAAUAAUUAAUUUGAAAUGAAAUGUUAAUCGUUUUUAAAUAUAUCUAGUUUUUUUAGAAAAAAAUUUAAUUUUAAAUUUAAAAUAUUUUUUAAUUUUUUUUUUAAUUAAAAAAUUUUAAAAUUAAAUAUGUUAAGGGAUAAGCUUUAAUUUAAAAAUUUAUAAUAUAUAUAUAUAUAUAUAUAUAUAUAAAUAAAUUUAAAAUUUUUAAAAUUUAUAUUGUUUAUAAAAUAAAAUUUAUUAUAAAAAAUUUUAUUAAAAAUAAAAUUUAAAAUUAUAUUUAAAUUUUUAUAAAAUAAAAAUUUUUAAUAAUAGAAAAUUAGAAAUAAUGAUAAAAUUAGUAUAUUAAAUUAAUAUAAAAUAAAUUUAAAUUAAAAUUAAUUUAAAGGAAUUCGGCAAAUAUUCAUAUUCACUUGUUUAUCAAAAACAUGUCUUUUUGGGAAAUAAUUUAAAGUCUAAUCUGCCCACUGAUAUAAAAUUAAAGGGCUGCAGUAUAUUGACUGUACAAAGGUAGCAUAAUAAAUAGUCUUUUAAUUGAAGACUUGUAUGAAAGAUUUAAUGAAAUAUGAACUGUCUCUAUAUUAAAAAUUGAAAUUAAUUUUUUUAUUAAAAAGUUAAAAUAAUUUAAAAAGACGAGAAGACCCUAUAGAGUUUUAUAAUUAUAUUUUUUUAAUAUUUUAUAUAUAAUAAUAAAUAUAAAUAAAUAAAAUUAUUUUGUUGGGGUGAUAGAAAAAUUAAAAUAACUUUUUUUUUAAAAAAAAAAUUACAUAAAUAAAUGAAUAAAUGAUCCAUGUUUUAUGAUUAAAAGAAAAAAUUACCUUAGGGAUAACAGCGUAAUUUUUUUUUUUAGUACAAAUAAAAAAAAAAGGUUGCGACCUCGAUGUUGGAUUAAGAUAAAAUUUAAAUGCAAAAGUUUAAAAUUUUGAUCUGUUCGAUCAUUAAAAUCUUACAUGAUCUGAGUUCAAACCGGUGUGAGCCAGGUUGGUUUCUAUCUUUUAAUAAAAAAAAUAUUUUAGUACGAAAGGAUCAAAUAUUUUAAAUAAUUUAAUUUUAAGAAUAUUAUUAAUAGUAUUAUAA
rnacentral:rRNA from 1 species